rnacentral:rRNA from 1 species
CGAAAGUCUGACCGAGCAACGCCGCGUGAGUGAAGAAGGUUUUCGGAUCGUAAAGCUCUGUUGUAAGUCAAGAACGUGUGUGAGAGUGGAAAGUUCACACAGUGACGGUAGCUUACCAGAAAGGGACGGCUAACUACGUGCCAGCAGCCGCGGUAAUACGUAGGUCCCGAGCGUUGUCCGGAUUUAUUGGGCGUAAAGGGAGCGCAGGCGGUCAGGAAAGUCUGGAGUAAAAGGCUAUGGCUCAACCAUAGUGUGCUCUGGAAACUGUCUGACUUGAGUGCAGAAGGGGAGAGUGGAAUUCCAUGUGUAGCGGUGAAAUGCGUAGAUAUAUGGAGGAACACCAGUGGCGAAAGCGGCUCUCUGGUCUGUCACUGACGCUGAGGCUCGAAAGCGUGGGUAGCGAACAGGAUUAGAUACCCUGGUAGUCCACGCCGUAAACGAUGAGUGCUAGGUGUUAGGCCCUUUCCGGGGCUUAGUGCCGGAGCUAACGCAAUAAGCACUCCGCCUGGGGAGUACGACCGCAAGGUUGAAACUCAAAGGAAUUGACGGGGGCCCGCACAAGCGGUGGAGCAUGUGGUUUAAUUCGAAGCAACGCGAAGAACCU